UACGGAGGGUGCAAGCGUUGCUCGGAAUUAUUGGGCGUAAAGAGCUCGUAGGUGGUUUGUCGCGUUGUCCGUGAAAACUCACAGCUCAACUGUGGGCGUGCGGGCGAUACGGGCAGACUGGAGUACUGCAGGGGAGACUGGAAUUCCUGGUGUAGCGGUGAAAUGCGCAGAUAUCAGGAGGAACACCGGUGGCGAAGGCGGGUCUCUGGGCAACAACUGACGCUGAGGAGCGAAAGCGUGGGGGGCGAACAGG
rnacentral:rRNA from 1 species